CCCGAGGUGGUUGUUGGAGGUAGUUGGCGGUGGUCGGGGGUGGUCGUAGGUAAGCGAGGGGAAGGACGAGGAAGACGAGGAAAAUAAGGUGGACAAGGAUUUGUGCAGGGUAUAACCCGACGUGGUUAUCGGUGGUUGUUGGGGGUGGUUGGAGGUGGUCGGAGGUAGACGAGGUGAGGGACGAAGAAGACGAGAACAAUAUGGACGAGGAGGGCGAAGAUUAGUGCUCGGUAUAACCCGAGGUGGUUCGAGGUGGUUGUUGGAGGUGGUUGGCGGUGGUUGGAGGUGGUUGCAGCUGAUCAGGGAGGAGGACGAAGAAGACGAGGAGAACGAGGAUUUCUACAUGGUGUAAGCCGAGGUGGUUAUCGGUG
rnacentral:lncRNA from 1 species